rnacentral:rRNA from 1 species
UACGCACCGGCUAACUCCGUGCCAGCAGCCGCGGUAAUACGGAGGUUGCAAGCGUUCUCCGGAAUCAUUGGGUUUAAAGGGUCCGCAGGCGGAUUUAUCGGUCAGUGGUGAAUUCCUAUCGCUUAACGAUAGAACUGCCAUUGAUACUGUAAGUCUUGAAUUCGGUCGGAGUGGGCGGAAUGAGACUUGUAGCGGUGAAAUGCAUAGAUAUUACACAGAAUACCGAUUGCGAAGGCAGGUUACUAGGCCUGAAUUGACGCUCAGGGACGAAAGCGUGGGGAUCAAACAGGAUUAGAUACCCUGGUAGUCCACGCUGUAAACGAUGAUUACUCGUUUUCCGCGAUAUACUGCCGGAGACUAAGCGAAUGUGAUAAGUACUCCACCUGGGGAGUACGAUCGCGAGGAUGAAACUCAUAGGACUUGAC